rnacentral:rRNA from 11 species
AUCCGGGAGACAGACUGCGGGUGCUAACGUCCGUAGUCAAGAGGAAAACAAUCCAGACCGCCAGCUAAGGCCCCAAAUUCCUAGUUAAGUGGGAAACGAUGUGGGAAGGCUCAGACAGCUAGGAGGUUGGCUUAGAAGCAGCCACCCUUGAAAGAGUGCGUAAUAGCUCACUGGUCAAGUGAUUCCGCGCCGACAAUGUAGCGGGGCUCAAGCAGUCCGCCGAAGCUGUGGCACU